rnacentral:rRNA from 1 species
AAGUCGUAACAAGGUUUCCGUAGGUGAACCUGCGGAAGGAUCAUUAGAGAAAGAAAACCGUGGUCGUGCUGGUUCUCACAAGUGCACACCACAUCUUCCUUCAUUCACCCCUUGUGCACCUCGAAGCUCUCUCUUUUGAGAGCUUUUUAUCACACACACCCUUUUGAACCAGUCGAGAACGUGACCGCGUAUUUUAAUACAACUAUCAACAACGGAUCUCUUGGCAUCCCACUCGAUGAAGAACGCAGCGAAUUGCGAUAAGUAAUGUGAAUUGCAGAAUUCAGUGAAUCAUCGAAUCUUUGAACGCACCUUGCACCCUCCAGUAUUCUGGAGGGUAUGCCCGGUUGAGUAUCACGAACACAUCAAGCCUCUGGUUUCUCAUUGGAAAGGUCUGUGCAUUCGGCGAAAGCGUCCAACGUCUGGGGCGCCGUGGUAGCUGAUUCCAGACUUGGGAGCCGGAAGGUAUUGGACUUGAGCGCCCCAUAUGCCGGUUCUGGUUGAAUCGGCUCGCUCAAAGUGAAUUAGCUGGUGNUCCUUUCCACGAACGGUUACCACUCGACGUGAUAAGCAUCAUUCCGUCGGGGANACCCUUGUGGGUGGCCGUCCUAGGAUUUGGGGCCGCUCCUAAUCGUCUUUGGACAAGUCAUAUCGUCCGAUCUCAACUCGGGUAGGACUACCCGCCGAACUUAAGCAUAUCAAUAAGCGGAGGAAAAGAAACUANCAAGGAUUCCCCUAGUAACGGCGAGUGAAGCGGGAAGAGCUCAAAUUUUAANUCUGGCGUCCUCGGNUCGUCCGAAUUGUAAUCUAGAGAAGUGUUUUCCGUGCCGGACNCACCAUAAGUUACCUCGAACGGUACAUCAUAGAGGGUGAGAAUCCCGUAUGUUGGUGGGGCGCCCGGUGCUCUGUGAUGCGCUCUCGACGAGUCGAGUUGUUUGGGAAUGCAGCUCAAAACGGGAGGUAAAUUCCUUCUAAAGCUAAAUACGUUGGGAUGACCGAUAGCGAACAAGUACCGUGAGGGAAAGAUGAAAAGCACUUUGGAAAGAGAGUUAAACAGUACGUGAAAUUGUUGGUAGGGAAACGCUUGAAGUCAGUCGCGUCUCCUGGAAUUCAGCCUGGCUCCUGCCUGGUGCAUUUUCCAGUUGAUGGGCCAGCGUCCAUUUCGUCCGUUGGAGAAGGGCGGUUUGAAUGUGGCAGCUUCUGCUGUGUUAUAGCUUACCGUCGCACACGACGGAUGGGAUGGAACCUACGGCACGCCUUUUGGUGGUGCUCGUGUUGGCGUAAUGGCUUUAAACGACC